ACGCGAAAACUGGAUUACGAUGUGACGCGUCGCAACAGUGGCAAUACUUCUCUUUCGUCGGUCGGACUUAGGAAUAUUGACUUUACAUUGCGUCCCACGACAGGUUGGCCUCGUGGAAGCGGCGUUAAUUGGGUGAAUGGAAGACCAUCAACGCCAAAACUGGAUUUCGAUUUAGGAUUUCGCAACAGUGGCAUUACUUCUCUUUCGUCGACCGGACUUAAGAACAUUGAGUUUACAUUGCGUCGCAAGGCAGGUUGGCCUCGUGGAGGCGGCGUUAACUGGGUGUAUGGAAGCUCAUCAACGCCAAAAUUGGAUUUCGAUUUCGGACUUCGCAACAGUGGC